rnacentral:snRNA from 1 species
GUCGCAUGUUGGCCUUUUGGCUAAGGUCAAAUGUAGCAUCUGUUCUUAUUAGUUUAAAUCUGAUUUUUUUCUAUCGCUUUAUGGGGUGUGAUGAUGCAUGCAUUAAAGGAAAGAUGGCGCUAAGAAGAUACUUAAAAUUGCAUUUUGAGUUUUUAAAAAAAGAUAACGUCU